GCGGGGUCUGAGAUGAACCUGACAUCUGCUGGGAGGCAAAACAAACGCACCUCCUUCAGACAAUCCCUCGCUAUUUGUAGUGAGCGAGCUCAAGCAGGCUUCCUGAGCCCUCUGCUGCGCCGGACGGCUUCAGCCAAGAUGUCUCUGAGAAGAGAAGCCUCCACACUGUUCAUCCAACAUGGCAAAGUCAGCCAGAGGAGGAGGGAGUGGGAAACAAAGGCUGCUGCUUGAUACCACCUCACCAUGAAGAAUAUGGACCUGUACUACCACACACCACCACCAACACACACGCACCACCAACACGUACCACCAACACACACCAUCAACACACACCACCACCAUGCACCACCAACACACACCACCAGCAACACGCACCGCCAACACACACCAACACACACCAUCAACACACACCACCCACCACCACCACCAACAUGCACCACCAACACGCACCACCAACACACACCACACACCACCACCACCAACAUGCACCACCAACACACUCCAUCAACACACACCACCACCACACCACACCACCACCAACAUGCACCACCAACACACAACAGCACCACACACCAACACACACCACCACCACCACCAACACACACCAUCAACACACCUUCAACACACACCACCAACACACACCAUCAACACACCACCAACACACACCAUCAACACACCACCAAGACUCAACACCAAGACACGCCACCAAUACACCACCAACACACCACCAACACACAACCAACACACACCAUCAACACACCAUCAACACAUACCACAAAACACAACCACCAACACACACCACUAACACACAACACCAACACACACCAUCAACACACCACCAACACGCCAUCAACACACCACCAACACACACCACAAAUGCACAACACCAACACAUACUAUCAACACACCACCAACACACAGUCCAAUAAAUACACACCACCAACACAUAGUCCAGUAAACAUACAUCACCAACACAUAGUCCAAUAAACACAAUCAAUCAACACGCAGUUAUCAGACGCUUGUACAAACAGAAGCCAUUAGGACAUUGAUCAAAAAUAUAUUCAACACUAGUAUGUUCUGUUAGGUGACAUUCCACGUGGAUUGCUCCCUCCAGGUUGGGGAUGAGCUGUUGCCUCAAGUGAAGGAGUUCAAGUAUCUUGGGGUCUUGUUCACGAGUGAGAGUAGGAUGGAGCAGGAGAUGUGACAGACGGAUUGGUGCAGCAUCAGCAGUAAUGCGAACGUUGUACCGGACCGUUGUGGUGAAGAGGGAGCUGAGACAGAAGGCAAAGCUCUCAAUUUACCAGACAGUCUUCGUUCCAACCCUCACCUAUGGUCAUGAGCUUUGGGUAGUGACCGAAAGGGUGAGAUCGCAGAUACAAGUAGCUGAAAUGAGUUUCCUCCGUAGGGUGUCUGGGCUCAGCCUUAGAGAUAGGGUGAGGAGCUCGAACAUCCAGAGGGAGCUCAGAGUAGAGCCACUGCUCCUUCGCAUCGAACGGAGCCAGUUGAGGUGGUUUGGGCAUCUGAUUAGGAUGUCUCCUGGGCGCCUUCCUUUGGAGGUUUUCCGGGCACGGCCAACUGGGAGGAGACCCCGGGAUAGACCCAGAACUCGCUGGAGGGACUACAUGUCCAAUCUGGCCUGGGAACACCUUGGGAUCCCCCAGCAGGAGCUGGAGGGUGUUGCUGGGGAGAGGGACGUCUGGAGUGCCCUACUUAGCUUGCUGCCACCACGACCCGAUCCCGGAGAAGCGGCUGAAGAUGAAUGAAUGAAUGAAAAAUUAAUGUUCUGUUAGUUUUAUCUGUUUAGAUCUUGUCAUUUCCCUGACGAAUGUUGCAACACACACACACACAGACACACAUACACACACACACCAAUACAAACGGAUAACGACACAUUCCUUGUUACAGGAAGGAAGUGGAUGUAGUUUACUGUCAUUUCAUUAUGUACCUGCGUACAAGAAAAAACGAAAUGCUGUUUCUCCCAGUCCACAGCAGUGCAACAGAAAAGAUAAAAUAUAUAUAUAUAUCUAAAAACUGUCUAAUUUUUUUCCUUUUUCUACCAUUUAGAAAGAAAGAGUUUUAAAAGUGUUUUGAGUAGUUUAAAUGUUUAGACGGGUUUGGUGACCAGUGGUCCUGUAAGCACAGCAGACAUGUAAGCACAGCAGACAUGUAAGCACAGCAGGCAUGUAAGCACAGCAGACAUGUAAGCACAGCGGUCCUGUAAGCACAGCAGACAUGUAAGCACAGCGGUCCUGUAAGCACAGCGGUCCUGUAAGUACAGCAGUCCUGUAAGCACAGCAGUCCUGUAAGCACAGCAGUCGUGGUUUCUGCUGCGGUUGUUUCGUGUUCAGCUGAGACGACGAGCCGGACCGUGGAACUGUUAUACUGUCAUUACUUCUAAUUUUAUUGAAAAUUAAAGGUAAUCACAAGAAUGUUAACAAUGAUAAGAAUCAAAAGUGACAAAGUCCAUUAUAGCCGUUGAUAACAUGUAGAAUAUCCUGUUUGUAAAGGGGUAUAAGAUUUGAACAAAACAAUGUUAAAGAAGUUAAGAAACGAGACUUAAUUAAAACAGUGUUAAAUCUGGUUUUGAGAAGUGAUUUAAACGUGACACUGAAAUGACAAGUAAAUGCCAGAAGUCUUCCCAUCCGAAUAUUGAUUUUUUUAUUUUCAGGAGAAUCUGCUUUCUUUGAGUCUCUGUAGUAAAACAGAGGUGUAUCUGUUCUCACCAUGCUCAACUUUGAUAACCUUAUUAAGUUAUUAAUAACCCCAGGCCGUCCCAGGUCCUUUCUGUGUGGCGCUUGCAUGUUCUCCCCAUGUCUGCGUGGGUUUUCUCCGGGUGCUCCAGUUUCCUCCCACCAUCAAAAAGACAUGCGCGUUAGGGUUAAUACUCCUGCCUGUGCCCCUGAGCAAGGCAAUGGAAAGAAGAACUGGAGUUGGUCCCCAUGCGCUGCACGGCGGCUGCCCACUGCUGCUACCUACAUGGCUAACAUGGGUUAAAUGCAGAGGAUGCAUCUCCCCACAGGGAUCGGUCUUACUCCUGCUCAGUUCAACAAGUGUAAUUGUAUUUUGCUAUAUCAAAAAGUCUUUUGGUCAACAGUUUUUAUGUAAAUC